GCACCGCUGAUGAGACCCAACCAGGUCGACACAGCUGUCCAGUGC
rfam:Echinostoma caproni strain Egypt genome assembly, scaffold: ECPE_contig0000065